ensembl:lncRNA
GGGGAUUUGCAAAGAGAAAACGGGUGAUUUUCGGGUUAAAAGGGGGAUUCUCAAAGAGAAAACACGUGAUUUUCGCUUAAAUGAGGGAUUUGCAAAGAGAAAGCCCCUGAUUUUCGGGUUAAAUGGGGGAUUUGCGAAGAGAAAACGCGUGAUUUUCGGUUAAGUGGGGGAUUUGCGAAGAGAAAACGCGUGAUUUUCGCUUAAAUGGGCGAUUUGCGAAGAGAAAAGGCGUUAUUUUCAGUUAAAUGGGGGAUUCUCGAAGAGAAAACGCGUGAUUUUCGGGUUAAAUGGGGGAUUUGCGAAGAGAAAACACGUGAUUUUCGGGUUAAAUGGGGGAUUCUCAAAGAGAAAACGUGUGAUUUUCGGGUUAAAUGGGGGAUUUGCGAAGAGAAAACGCGUGAUUUUCGGGUUAAAUGGGGGAUUCUCAAAGAGAAAACGCGUGAUUUGCAGGUUAAAUGGGGGAUUCUCGUAGAGAAAAGGCGUGAUUUUCGCUUAAAUGGGGGAUUUGCGAAGAGAAAACGCGUGAUUGUCGCUUAAAUGGGGGAUUUGCGAAGAGAAAACGCGUGAUUUUCACUUAAAAGGGGGAUUUGUGAAAAGAAAAGGCGUGAUUUUCAGUUAAAUGGGGGAUUCUUGGAGAGAAAAUGCGUGGUUUUCGCUUACAUGGGGGAUUCUUGAAGAGAAAACGCGUGAUUUUCGGUUAAAAGGGGGAUUUGCGAAGAGAAAAUGCGUGAUUUUUGGGUUAAAUGGGGGAUUUGCGAAGAGAAAACGCGUGAUUUUCGGGUUAAAUUGGGGAUUUGCGAGGAGAAAAGACGUGAUUUUCGCUUAAAUGGGGGAGUCUCGUAGAUAAAACUCAUGAUUUUCGCUUAAAUGUGGGAUAUCUGAAGAGAAAACACGUGGUUUUCGGGUUAAAUCGGGGAUUCUCGAAGAGAAAACACGUGAUUUUUGCUUAAAUGCGGUAUUUGCAAAGAGAAAACGCGUGAUUUUCGCAUACAUGGGGGAUUUCAAAUAGAAAAAGCGUGAUUUUUCCUUAAAUGGGGUAUUUGCAAAGAGAAAACGCGUGAUUUUCAGGUUAAAUGGGGGAUUUGCGAAGAGAAAACGCAUGAUUUUUGGGUUAAAUGGGGGAUUCUCGAAGAGAAAACGGGUGAUUUUCGGUUAAAUGGGGGAUUUGUGAAAAGAAAAAGCGUGAUUUUCGAGUUAAGUGGGGGAUUCUCGAAGAGAAAAUGGGUGAUUUUCGCUUAAAUGGCGGAUUCUCGAAGAGAAAACGCGUGAUUUUGGGGUUAAAUGGGGGAUUCUUGAAGAGAAAACGCGUAAUUUUCGCUGAAAUGGGGGAUUCUCGAAGAGAAAACACGUGAUUUUCGCUUAAAUGGGGGAUUCUCGAAAAGAAAAUGCGUGAUUUCCACUUAAAUGGGG